rnacentral:misc_RNA from 1 species
UAUUACUUUGUGUCUCUUAGUCAACCUGAUCUGGUCCAUGUUCGUGGGGAGGGCAUCAUGGGCAUGUCCACACCAAUGUCCACCCCAUGUCCACUCCCCCCGCACUCGCCCAUGCUGUCGCACAGACCAAAGCAGGCACUCCCGCACCCACUCCCUCAUAUCGGGUGCACCAUCCAGCACACCCCCCACUAAUGAUCCUUCCGCAGGUUCACCUACGGAAA